rnacentral:rRNA from 1 species
GCAUAUCAAUAAGCGGAGGAAAAGAAACCAACAGGGAUUGCCUCAGUAGCGGCGAGUGAAGCGGCAAAAGCUCAAAUUUGAAAUCUGGCGUCUUUGGCGUCCGAGUUGUAAUUUGAAGAAGGUAUCUUUGGGCCCGGCUCUUGUCUAUGUUCCUUGGAACAGGACGUCACAGAGGGUGAGAAUCCCGUGCGAUGAGAUGACCCGGGUCUGUGUAAAGUUCCUUCGACGAGUCGAGUUGUUUGGGAAUGCAGCUCUAAGUGGGUGGUAAAUUCCAUCUAAAGCUAAAUAUUGGCGAGAGACCGAUAGCGAACAAGUACAGUGAUGGAAAGAUGAAAAGAACUUUGAAAAGAGAGUGAAAAAGUACGUGAAAUUGUUGAAAGGGAAGGGCUUGAGAUCAGACUUGGUAUUUUGCAUGUUGCUCUCUCGGGGGCGGCCGCUGCGGUUUACCGGGCCAGCAUCGGUUUGGAGCGGCAGGAUAAUGGCGGAGGAAUGUGGCACGGCUUCUGCUGUGUGUUAUAGCCUCUGACGAUACUGCCAGCCUAGACCGAGGACUGCGGUUUUUAACCUAGGAUGUUGGCAUAAUGAUCUUAAGUCGCCCGUCUUGAAACACGGACC